rnacentral:rRNA from 1 species
AGUCGAGCGAAUGGAUUAAGAGCUUGCUCUUAUGAAGUUAGCGGCGGACGGGUGAGUAACACGUGGGUAACCUGCCCAUAAGACUGGGAUAACUCCGGGAAACCGGGGCUAAUACCGGAUAACAUUUUGAACCGCAUGGUUCGAAAUUGAAAGGCGGCUUCGGCUGUCACUUAUGGAUGGACCCGCGUCGCAUUAGCUAGUUGGUGAGGUAACGGCUCACCAAGGCAACGAUGCGUAGCCGACCUGAGAGGGUGAUCGGCCACACUGGGACUGAGACACGGCCCAGACUCCUACGGGAGGCAGCAGUAGGGAAUCUUCCGCAAUGGACGAAAGUCUGACGGAGCAACGCCGCGUGAGUGAUGAAGGCUUUCGGGUCGUAAAACUCUGUUGUUAGGGAAGAACAAGUGCUAGUUGAAUAAGCUGGCACCUUGACGGUACCUAACCAGAAAGCCACGGCUAACUACGUGCCAGCAGCCGCGGUAAUACGUAGGUGGCAAGCGUUAUCCGGA